AGAGCGAGACACUCACAACUGAAACAACUUACCUGCUGCUCUUACAGUGAAAAAAAUUCAUGUUUCUGCCAAAUGUUUGGCAGAAAACAAGAGGUGCGCACUUCUUUUCCCGUUAAGUGAUUCUUCAUGUUCCAGUGGAAAGAUAUCUCUAUGUCAUGGGCUUCAAAUCACUAGCAGGGAGACUGCUACAAUUUCAGCUGCAACAUUUGAUGUAUAAAUCCCUUAUCCCAUCUGUUCGCUUAAUCCAGGAUUCUGAAACACGUUCAGGGAACAGAAAAGGUUCCUGUCCUGCUGUCUGGGGGAGAGUUUUGGUAGCCUGCCCGGCCAACCCUAGCCCAGAGUACUCCCAGGUGUGGGAACAAGGCUGCCCACCAUCGCAUUGGCAUCAACAUAACUGAUAGCUCUCAACAUGCUGCAUCAGCGAAAGCACACAGACAAAUGAGGCUGGCCAUGGAGUCACACCAGCCUCAGCAGGACCUGUACAGAUCAGCUGUGAUCACCAGGGUUGCACAACCUUCCACAAGUGAGAAGUGGACUCUGGACAGCGAGAUAUGCAUUACAAGAUAAAGCUGUCCUGCUAUGCCACAGCAGUUGAAGAGUCUGAGCAUGCCUCAGUGGCCCUGCGCUCCCAGCACACAAAGCCAUCUGCAGCCACCAGUCAUUUGGAGCAGCCUCUCACAUGCUGGCUUUCCUACAGGGAGUUUCUCACAGCAGGAUCAGCCGCCCUUCCAGCACAUCACAGGUGUUCUCCACAUGGCAUGAGCAGCAUUUCUCUCCUCCGGUUCUGGGAGAGGAAAUUCUGCAAACCAAAUGUGAACUCAGGAAAGGGAGGUCCUAGCAAACUUGCUGUGCCAAAGGCAAACACAAAAGGCUCACCUCUGCAGUUGUGCCCGACUGAGCAGUGCCAGCAAAUAGAGGAGCGCGGUGCCAGACUCAUACAGAGUGGUACGGGGUCAAGGCAAGGCUUUUUGCUGGGAACAGGGUGUGUGCGGGCUGAAAAGCACUGAGGAGGAACUGAGGCCAUGGCUGAUCCUGGGGGGUGCGCAGAUCAGCUCUGCAGGCGAGGUUAGUGCCUUUGCUCCUCUGUCAUCACCAGUCCCUGAGAGCAAUCACCACCCACCAACAGUUCCUCAAGAUAAGACCGAGCCAGCUGGGAGAAGAAAUCCUUUGAUAUUUCCCUGCCUCGCUGACUGCGUUUUUCACAGCUCACAUCUCAGAGAGGACCAGCAGAGAUGACUGGGCACGUAAGAAUAACACUGGAGUGGUAUGCAAGGAAGGUGCUAAUCUUCUGCCAUGUGUGUAGGGCCUGGGCAGAAUGAGGCAGAGCGCAGUGCUGGAGUCUCCCUGAUCCUCCCAUGGAUAUCAGCAGCUGCCACACCUGGAGUCUGCAGCAAAGCUCCUUCCUCCAGAGGCCAAGAGCUGAGCCUACUGUUUCCAGCAAGAGAGAAGCCUGCGCUUGCUGGGGGACUUGCUGGUGGGGCAGUGCUGUGUGGAAGGGCUGUGCUCACACCAUGAGAUGAGGCCAUCUAACAGAUGAAGCAUGCAGGAUUUGCACUGACCGACGCCUGCACGGCUUCAGAGCUGUUUAUGGAUGUAAGGCUUGUCGUGGCUCUUCUCCCAGACACCUCGCUGCUGUCACAGCUCAGCGUUUGCCAUAUGUUUCAGCCCAGUGCUCGAAGCCUAAUAAAAAUGUCUAGCUGUAAAUCACCAGAGGUGUAGGCUGUGACCCUCUUUACUCCUACCUCUUCCACCACCUCUCAGCCACCCUUUUCCAGAUACUGGAAGCAAUAUAGCAAGAGUGAUUCUCCCAUCGGCCUUCUGCCAGAGCAGUGAUGCCAGAACACAGCUGUUUGCAAUUGCAUGGGGAAAGCUGUGCUGGGCUGAAAUGCAAAAUGAGGCCAAUGUGUCCCCACGGUCGCUUCUUCAGGAUACUUCUUUGUCCCACUUGGAGACAGAAGCUCCUGCUUAAGUAACCCUGGGGACUUGGAUCAGACAUCAUUAAAAGCAGUGGGGCAGCCAGCCCAUGGGGAGGCAGUGGCAAAUGCGGUGCGAAUGAUCAUGUCCUGCAUGGGACAGACCAGGAGGCAAAACUGCUGAAGAUGGCUCUCCUCACACGGAGCCGGGAUCAUCCACCCCAUUCAUACACUGUUCUCAACAACGUGCAAAGAGACGACUUUAUUAAGAAGAAAAUCAUGACCACAACUCAUGGUUACAAAGGAAAAUAUUACUGCCCUCCUGAGGCAGACAGGGAGAGUUAAAUGGCACCUGGGGCCUAAUGACUACAUGCUGAAGCUAUAAAAGACUGCAGAAGGAGCAUGAGCCUCUGGAAGAAAGACUUGGAAGUGGUUUCUGAUGUAGUUUACACAGCUGGACAACAGGAAAGGAGGUGUGACUGUGCUGCUAAAUGUAAGUGGGGAAAGGGCUGGGGUAUUGUGUCAGUUGUAGAUGUUAGUUCUCAGGAAUCAAAAACUCUUCUGAUUACCUACAAAAGCCUCUCCCAUCACUAAUGCCCAAGGGAAGAAAAAGCCCCAGCAGCUUCUCUGUGCCCUUCUGUGGUCUCUUUGUAGUGGAGUGCUGGGCUGAACCCAGAGCUGAUGCCACAUAUCUGUAGGGUGUUUGACCAGGCUUCUCUUUGUAAGUAAAAGGAGAAGAGUUAUGAGAUGUUUGAUGAGUGGGACAAUAAGGCAGACUUUAACGUCUUAUUUGUGAGCAAAUUAUGUGCAUGCUGCUGCAGGAGACCUGCAGAGGUGAUACGGCUAGUGCCUGAUGCUGAUGGUUAUUAGACAGGGGCAUCCUAGUCACCUGCAGAGUCACUAAACUUGGCAUAUGAGCUUGGUAGUAGUGGCAACAAUCUGUCUGGUUGCAAGGGUACCUGAAGAAGGGGGCACUAGCACUGGGUCCCUGAGCAGCAUGUGGUGAGAUUGGUGUUUCAACACUCCUCUCUGAUGAGUGAGGGCGGAGGCACAGAAAGGCUCGUACAACUGUGGGCACCCACCUCUAUACUUGAAUUAGUGCACUCUGU
rnacentral:lncRNA from 1 species